UGGGGGAUAUUGCACAAUGGGCGAAAGCCUGAUGCAGCGACGCCGCGUGGGGGAUGAAGGCCUUCGGGUUGUAAACUUCUUUUGCUCUGAACAAGGCAUGCUAAUGGGUGUGUUGAGUGUAGGGGUUGAUUAGCGCCGGCUAACUACGUGCCAGCAGCCGCGGUAAUACGUAGGGCGCGAGCGUUGUCCGGAAUUAUUGGGCGUAAAGGGCUUGUAGGUGGCUGGUUGCGUCUGUCGUGAAAGCUCAUGGCUUAACUGUGGGUUUGCGGUGGGUACGAGCUGGCUUGAGUGCAGUAGGGGAGGCUGGAAGUCCUGGUGUGGCGGUGGAAUGCGCAGAUAUCAGGAGGAAUACCGGUGGCGAAGGCGGGUCUCUGGGCUGUUACUGACACUGAGGAGCGAAAGCAUGGGGAGCGAACAGG
rnacentral:rRNA from 1 species